UGAGAAGUCGAAUAUGAAUCUUACAAAGUGGGAAGAUUUUGAGGUGAGAUCAUUGUGUUUUAGGCAUUAUGUUCAACAGAGCUGAGGAAGUUUCAUUCAUGGAUUUUGCCAACACUAGUGGACAAGGGAAUUGGGCAUUGGCGUUUUAGCUGUAUCAUGUCAUUUUCUUGGAGGCCUAUUCUCUCUGCUACUGGGUAUACAGAGUACUAUUUUGACGCACAAUCUGGAAGAGUAUGCAGGGUCCUGGCAGCUGUGAAGGUGCAAAACAUGACAAAAAUUCAACUACAAAGUGCGAGAGAAAAUCCAUGAACAACGUUCGAAUGGCAAAGACAAGGUUAAAUGAACGUGUAAAGAAUGAUUGCUUUCCUAAAGUGAACAAGGAGAAUCUCCAAGAGCCCUAAUAUAGUUUCCAAUAGAACUUUGAAGAGAGGACCUUAUGGUUAUAAACAAGCUGAAGCACAUAAUGGUGCUGCCCAUAAUUUUUAUUUCAAAUUAAAAUUGUAGUACAAAUUCUUUAAGUUUCACAUAUAUUUGAAUGAGUAAUUUGGUUUUUUACGUAGUA